GACGAACGCUGGCGGCGUGCCUAAUACAUGCAAGUUGAGCGCUGAAGGUUGGUACUUGUACCCACUGGAUGAGCAGCGAACGGGUGAGUAACGCGUGGGGAAUCUGCCUUUGAGCGGGGGACAACAUUUGGAAACGAAUGCUAAUACCGCAUAAAAACUUUAAACACAAGUUUUAAGUUUGAAAGAUGCAAUUGCAUCACUCAAAGAUGAUCCCGCGUUGUAUUAGCUAGUUGGUGAGGUAAAGGCUCACCAAGGCGAUGAUACAUAGCCGACCUGAGAGGGAUAUCGGCCACAAUGGGACUGAGACACGGCCCAAACUCCUACGGGAGGCAGCAGUAGGGAAUCUUCGGCAAUGGACGAAAGUCUGACCGAGCAACGCCGCGUGAGUGAAGAAGGGUUUCGGAUCGUAAAACUCUGUUGGUAGAGAAGAACGUUGGUGAGAGUGGAAAGCUCAUCAAGUGACGGUAACUACACAGAAAGGGACGGCUAACUACGUG
rnacentral:rRNA from 1 species